rnacentral:lncRNA from 1 species
UUCCCUUCUCCCACCUCUUUUCUUUCCACCUCAUUACCAUCUUGUUUCUCAGGAUGCUGAUUCAGUCGCAGACCAAUUUCAGCUGCAUUUUAUUACUGAAAUCCUCCUCUUGCAAAGGAGGAAAUUGAAAGUGAAACAUAACCUGGUGUUCCCAGCCAUGUUGGCUCAGGCGCCGGAAAGAGCAUCUUCAGACCACCUCACUAUCUAGCAAGAGUUUCUGGUGACCAGGAUGACACCUGCUGGGACACCUUACUCACUCCAGCAUCUGCAGACGGGAUCCUGGGAGAACCAGCAGAAGUUGCCAAAGAGUGAGAAUUCUCACCAAAGUUUACUAAAAUUCAAAUAAGCUCUUGUCAUCUCUGUUACAGAAAUUGUCAGCAAGAAAGAUACCUUAAGAUGAUGACUUACCCUUAGAAGCUUAUGAAGCCUUGCAAAUGAUUCACCACCUGCUCUUCUCUAUCUUCGAGGCACACCAGCCUCGAAUACCUAUUGAAGAAACAUGCCUUUUCUCUCCAAUACCACAGAUCGCCUGCCAGCGAAGGAACAAAUACGAAAACUUUAACAGCAUCUCAAGAGUGUUCCCCCUUUGCUCCUCACCAACUACUGACAAUCAAUGUAAAAGUAAUCCU